rnacentral:rRNA from 1 species
UGUUCUUCGUGACAUGGCGUACUGCUCAGUAACACGUGGAUAACCUGCCCUUGGGACCGGCAUAACCCCGGGAAACUGGGGAUAAUUCCGGAUACCGCAUAUAUGCUGGAAUGCUUUAUGCGUAAAAUGGAUUCGUCUGCCCAAGGAUGGGUCUGCGGCCUAUCAGGUAGUAGUGGGUGUAAUGUACCUACUAGCCAACGACGGGUACGGGUUGUGAGAGCAAGAGCCCGGAGAUGGAUUCUGAGACAUGAAUCCAGGCCCUACGGGGCGCAGCAGGCGCGAAAACUUUACAAUGCGGGAAACCGUGAUAAGGGGACACCGAGUGCCAGCAACAUUUGCUGGCUGUCCGGGUGUGUAAACUACACCUGUUAGCAAGGGCCGGGCAAGACCGGUGCCAGCCGCCGCGGUAACACCGGCGGCCCGAGUGGUGAUCGUGAUUAUUGGGUCUAAAGGGUCCGUAGCCGGUUUGGUCAGUCCUCCGGGAAAUCUGACGGCUUAACCGUUAGGCUUUCGGGGGAUACUGCCGGGCUUGGAACCGUGAGAGGUAAGAGGUACUACAGGGGUAGGAGUGAAAUCUUGUAAUCCCUGUGGGACCACCUGUGGCGAAGGCGUCUUACCAGAACGGGUUCGACGGUGAGGGACGAAAGCUGGGGGCACGAACCGGAUUAGAUACCCGGGUAGUCCCAGCCGUAAACGAUGCUCGCUAGGUGUCAGGCAUGGCGCGACCGUGUCUGGUGCCGCAGGGAAGCCGUGAAGCGAGCCACCUGGGAAGUACGGCCGCAAGGCUGAAACUUAA